GUCCAAUGGCUUGACAUAAUGUGUUCUAUCCCAAUUUAUAUUGAUAUAUGUAACUUGUUCAUAUGGAUGUCAACCACUUCAUGAUCCAUACCUUCAUAAGAAAUAGAUCAUGUCAUUGCAUUCAAGAAAUUGCUUUCUGCAAACUUACCUACGUAGUGUUAUAUCAUGCAUUGUUAUUACCUUGUUCCACAACAUGGGUUGCUUGAGUGUACAUUCAAAGUACUCAUUAGCUUGCCACUUGUUAUUUAAUUAGCCACGCAUGGAAGAGUAGUAGUUCGACGAAGAGUUUGCUGGGGACGAACAUGCGAACUAGGACGCUUCCCAGUCAGAAUGCCUAUAGGGUUAAAGUAAAUGGCACUGGUUCACGCUUUCAUUCAGAAUUUCUGCUGCUAGUUAAGUUUGGUGUGUUGGCCUUCAAGGCCAUAUCUAUGUAAUACAUGACCUUCAUGGUUCUUAUUUGUAUCAAACGGUAUGAAUGGAUGUAAGACUCUUAU
rnacentral:lncRNA from 1 species